rnacentral:sRNA from 1 species
CAUAGUGGAACUUCGACUAACACCGCUUACGUCCUGUAAGCAACGCCAAAGUCACCACAUCCUGUGGA